UAAUAAGUAUAAAUACAUCAAACAGAGAUUCAAUUUUGAAUCUAUCAUUUUUAGACAUCAUUUUUUUCUGCCCUUAUUUAAAGGGUGCCGAUACCCCAAAAAUGGUAAAUAACAGCCGUUUCUUAUUCUGUUAGAAAUUACAGACGAGGAAAGAACUAAUUCAAAGGAGAUGCAUGAAAAAGGAAGAAGCAAGGAUUUGUGUGUUUUGGACUAUGUUAAGUGGUGGUUGCUUGUUUUACACUCUUAUGUUGUAUGCCUACGACUUUUGUCAAACUAUUCUAGUUUGAUGUUGGCUUUGUGUAUUUUGCAAUUUAAUUAUGCUUUAGUGUGCAUAUAACCUCUGUGAACUGGUUAUCUUUCAUGUAGUACUCAUUUCUUGUUAUGAAUUUUGGAUUUUUUUGCAUUCAAGCGUCAUUACCUACAAAUUGAACUAUGAUUGGUGGUGAUUGCUAGCUUUUUGCACUCUUAUGUUGUAUGCCCAUGAUCUUUGUCAAACUAUUCUAGUUUGAGGUUGGCUUUGUGUAUUUUGCGAUUUAAUUGUGCUUUAGCAUGCAUAUAACCUCUGUUGAACUAGUUAUCUUCUGUGUAGUAUACGUGGCUUGUUAUGAAAUUUGGACUUUUUGGAUUCAAUUAUUACUAUCUACAAAUUUUUAUAUGCAUUUUACUAAAUGUGCACCUCACAUCCUCUGCAUUGUGCCUGUAUGUAGGCCUUAAUACCUUGUGUACCUUAUGCCUUACAAUUAUGUUUCAAAAUUGUUUUUGUGAAAUGUACCAAGAGAAAAGUUGUUUUUGUGAAGAAUAAUGGACAGAG
rnacentral:misc_RNA from 1 species